GUGGGGAAUAUUGGACAAUGGGCGCAAGCCUGAUCCAGCAAUGCCGCGUGUGUGAAGAAGGUCUUCGGAUCGUAAAGCACUUUCGACGGGGACGAUGAUGACGGUACCCGUAGAAGAAGCCCCGGCUAACUUCGUGCCAGCAGCCGCGGUAAUACGAAGGGGGCUAGCGUUGCUCGGAAUUACUGGGCGUAAAGGGCGCGUAGGCGGCUCUGUGGGUCAGGCGUGAAAUUCCUGGGCUUAACCUGGGGACUGCGCUUGAUACUGCAGGGCUUGAGGCCGAGAGAGGGUGGUGGAAUUCCCAGUGUAGAGGUGAAAUUCGUAGAUAUGGGGAAGAACACCGGUGGCGAAGGCGACCACCUGGCUCGGUACUGACGCUGAGGCGCGACAGCGUGGGGAGCAAACAGGAUUAGAUACCCUUGUAGUCC
rnacentral:rRNA from 1 species